rnacentral:rRNA from 1 species
UACGGGGGGAGCAAGCGUUGUUCGGAUUUACUGGGCGUAAAGGGCGCGUAGGCGGUCAGCACAAGUCAGUUGUGAAAUCUCCGGGCUUAACUCGGAAAGGUCAACUGAUACUGUGCGACUAGAGUGCAGAAGGGGCAACUGGAAUUCUCGGUGUAGCGGUGAAAUGCGCAGAUAUCAGGAGGAACACCGGUGGCGAAGGCGGGUCUCUGGGCCGUAACUGACGCUGAGGAGCGAAAGCAUGGGGAGCGAACAGG